rnacentral:lncRNA from 1 species
AUUGUCUUUCUUCUUUCCAAGUCUAGUCCAGACACAGUCAGUGACAUGACGGAUUUGUGGAGAUGGGAGGAAGGGCAUAAGGAGAGAGAGAGAGAGAGAGAGAGAAAGAGAAUAUGAAGCAUGUUCCCUGCCCAGCAUGGAACCUGAUGCAGGGUUCAUCUCAUGACCCUGAGAUCAC